GGGUUGUGAGGUUAAGCGACUAAGCGUACACGGUGGAUGCCCUGGCAGUCAGAGGCGAUGAAGGGCGUGCUAAUCUGCGAUAAGCGCCGGUAAGGUGAUAUGAACCGUUAUAACCGGCGAUACCCGAAUGGGGAAACCCAGUGUGACUCGUCACACUAUCAUUAACUGAAUCCAUAGGUUAAUGAGGCGAACCGGGGGAACUGAAACAUCUAAGUACCCCGAGGAAAAGAAAUCAACCGAGAUUCCCCCAGUAGCGGCGAGCGAACGGGGAGGAGCCCAGAGCCUGAAUCAGCAUGUGUGUUAGUGGAAGCGUCUGGAAAGGCGCGCGAUACAGGGUGACAGCCCCGUACACAAAAGCGCAUGUGCUGUGAGCUCGAUGAGUAGGGCGGGACACGUGGUAUCCUGUCUGAAUAUGGGGGGACCAUCCUCCAAGGCUAAAUACUCCUGACUGACCGAUAGUGAACCAGUACCGUGAGGGAAAGGCGAAAAGAACCCCGGCGAGGGGAGUGAAAAAGAACCUGAAACCGUGUACGUACAAGCAGUGGGAGCCCCACCACCAAAGCAUUCUCUGGUGUUGAAGGCCCUGCAAAGCAGCAUCGCGGUGGCGGAGCGUCGUUUGCGACGCCCAACACACAAAACAAGCGGUGAGUGCUUUGGGGUGG
rnacentral:rRNA from 3 species